AAAACCCCAGCAGCAGCUGCAGGGAGAUGCUGGAAAGCAAAGGAAUUCUGGUGGCUGACAUCUCCACCUUCCUCGCGACAGUGCAGCAAGUGGCCGCUCCCUUCAGAAGAAGCUACUGGUGACAAAGUGAAGCCACCAGGACACGGCUCCUCCCCAGGCCCUGUGGCACCAGUUUGGGCACCCCGGUCCUGUGGGGGACAUCCCCACCAUCCCAAUGGAUCCCCACCACCCAACCCAGUGGAUCCCCACCACUCAUCCCAUGAAUCCCAGUAGAUCCCCACCAUCAAUCCCAGUGAUCCCACUGGAUCCCCACCACCCAUCCCUGUCAAUCCCAUCAGUCCCACUGGAGCCCAGUGAUCCCAGUGGGUCCCCACCAUCCAUCCCAGUCCCUGCUGGGGGUGGGGGAAAGUCGGGUUUAGCUCUGUACAUAAAUCUUAUUUAAAGGUGGGAAAUGCAAACCCUCAGGGGAUUCAUUCCCUGCCGUCCAGUCUCACAUAGGAAAGUUCUUUUUAAACGGUACAGGUAAAUUAUUGGAGCGGUUUGAAGGUUUUUCGUGCAGCUGCCGUUGGAGCAGGCAAAUGAAUUUCCCAAAGUGUACUUGAAGAUGAGGAAUGAGAACAAAUCCCUUUUCCACGUGGUCGUUGCUGUUCAGGCCCACGCUACAUUUCAGCUCAGCCUCCUGGUAUCGGUUCCCUGCUGGCACUCGUGGAAUCCCAGCACAGGAACCCCUGUAAAUAGCGGGAGGCAGGAACAGAAUAAGCUCUUUUAUUUAUGGGGGAAAGGAGCAGCCCAGCCCCGUUCCCACCCGGCUCCGCGGGGCAGGGGCGUCCCUCAGCUCGUUUUUAAAUCAGGACUGCGAGGUCACUCUGUACAGGAUGACUUUGUAAAGAGUUUGCUUAAUAAAACCUCCAAAAUCACGAAUGGCACACAGCUCUGCUUUCUGGAGAGGGGAUCAGCAUCCAGCUCAGCUCAGCAUUCCGCCUUUUCCAGCAGGGACCGGGAGGGCAGGGGGUUCUGCAGCUGGGGCAGAGGUGGGGAAGCAGCAAGGAGUGAGCAAGACCAUGGUGGGCUCCUGGAUCGUGGAUCCCAUCGCGCUUCCCUGCAGGAAGGAUGGAAGAACCAGAGGAACGAGCAGGUUCCAGCAGGAAAUGCUCCCGUGGAACCAGGAAAUGCUCCCAUAGAACCAGGGAAUGUUCCCAUGAACCAGGAAAUGCCUUCCUGCAGGAAAUGCUCCUGUGGAACCAGGAAACGCUCCCAUGAACCAGGAAACGCUCCCAUGAACCAGGAAACGCUCCCAUGAACCAGGGAAUGUUCCCAUGAACCAGGAAACGCUCCCAUGAACCAGGGAAUGUUCCCAUGAACCAGGAAAUGCUCCCAUGAACCAGGGAAUGCCUUCCUGCAGGGAACGCUCCCAUGAACCAGGAAACGCUCCCAUGAACCAGGAAACGCUCCCAUGAACCAGGAAACGCUCCCAUAGAACCAGGAAAUGCCUCCCUGCGGGAAACGCUCCCGUCUCAGCCCUGGCAGGCACAGAUGCUGCAGGGUCUCAGCCUGGAGCUGCUGCUCCCAGAACUGAAGUGAAUCAGACCAGAGGCCAGGACUGGUUUCCAGAAUUUGGCUUUACUUCGCAGUACAGAAAUCAUUUGGAGCCUUCAGGAGACACGAGAAGCACAGGCUCUGUCAUGCCGAUACCGCAGCGCCGUUUGGUCCAUCCGAGAAGCCACCGGGGGACAGAAAAUACUUCCACAUCUUGCCUGCUCUGUAAUUUGUUCUCUCAAUUUUAUUAAGAUUAAAACACAAAGGAGCCUGAGGCACAGCUGUGUCCCAACCGAUGUAAACGGGUUUAGAAGCUUAAGUGGAGGUUAAGUUCUGUGCCCAGAACGAAGCCAACAUUUGCUGCUACAAUAGGUGUGGGCUUUGUCCAUGAUACAACUUUGCCACAGAGUUAAGAUUGAUGGGAGAGACUUUUAGGGAUGCUGUCCACAAUAAUGGAGUGCUCAGUUUCUAUUUUCCUUGAUAUCAGGUUUGAGUGACAUCAGCGUCACAUCUACGAGCUCACCAGAAGCACAGGAUUGUGAAGGAUGUUUUACAAAUGAUUAAAAAGACAAGGUAAGACACAGCUGUCAAUGAGUUAUUUCAAAUCUGCACCCACGUCUACGUCUGCAAAAAUAAUAAUAAUAAGAGUAAGUUCAGUCUGCCUUUCUGCUUACGAGGUUAGUCAGGAAUAUCAGUCAGGAAUUUGCCAGAUUCUGGACAGCAGCCCUACUAGAAUGAAAUAAUUAACACAUGAUAUCCAAAAA
ensembl:lncRNA